CCUCCAGCCUUUUACAACCACAUCACUCCAUGGGCUUGCCAACAUUGGGCAGAGUCUCCUGCUGGCUGAAACUCUCUCACCACAAAGGAUUUCAUUUUAUGUCAGCAGUUUCAUAGGCUGAGGGAGUGAUAGAGAUAAGAGAAACAUGAAGAGAAUAUGCCACAAUGACUAAACUCAAGAUAGAUUUGGGGCAGAGAUGUAGA
rnacentral:lncRNA from 1 species